rnacentral:tRNA from 1 species
GCUAGAGUGGCAGAGUUCGGCAAAAUGCAAAAGGCUUAAACCNUUUACUCAGAGG